GAUGAACGCUAGCGGCAGGCCUAAUACAUGCAAGUCGAACGGGAUUAAGAGGCUUGCUUCUUAUGAGAGUGGCGCACGGGUGCGUAACACGUAUGCAACCUACCUUUAACUGGGGGAUAGCCUUCCGAAAGGGAGAUUAAUACCGCAUAACAUAAUUGAACGGCAUCGUUUGAUUAUCAAACUUCCAAGGGUUAAAGAUGGGCAUGCGUCCGAUUAGUUAGUUGGUGAGGUAACGGCUCACCAAGGCAUCGAUCGGUAGGGGAUCUGAGAGGAUGACCCCCCACACUGGUACUGAGACACGGACCAGACUCCUACGGGAGGCAGCAGUAAGGAAUAUUGGUCAAUGGACGCAAGUCUGAACCAGCCAUGCCGCGUGCAGGAAGACGGUCCUCUGGAUUGUAAACUGCUUUUGUUAGGGAAGAAACCCUCUGAUGCGUCAGAGGCUGACGGUACCUAAAGAAUAAGGAUCGACUAACUCCGUGCCAGCAGCCGCCGUAACAC
rnacentral:rRNA from 1 species